GCAUCGGUCUGCCCAGAGGAUGGAUAUCUGCACAUGGGGAAGAACUGCAUCUACACUUGACUCUUAAACUUCUUCAGGUGCAAACCCACCCACCUGUGCCAAUUGUGUGACCAAGAAGAGUGGAUCUGCAGAGACUAAAAGAGGAUGAUCAGAGACCUCACAGGUUA